rnacentral:ncRNA from 1 species
CAUUGUGAGGUGGAAUCUGAAAGAAGUCAAUAGCAAAAUCUCGGUCUGACGAACAGAAAUCACAUACAAGGCUGAAUUGAGUUGGGCGAGCUUGCUGAACAAAGCAAAGCCCGAAUAACUAUCCAAAGCUCAUACAGUAAAUGUGGCAGAUAUAUGAGAGGAAGGUUGUU